GCAGUGGUGGUUCAGUAGUAGAAUUCUUACCUCCCAUGCGUGAGACCCUAGUUCGAUUCCUGGCCAAUGCA
rnacentral:tRNA from 1 species